rnacentral:rRNA from 1 species
UGCGCAGGCGGUUUUGUAAGUCAGAUGUGAAAUCCCCGGGCUUAACCUGGGAACUGCGUUUGAAACUACAAGACUAGAGUGUAGCAGAGGGGGGUGGAAUUCCAUGUGUAGCAGUGAAAUGCGUAGAGAUAUGGAAGAACACCGAUGGCGAAGGCAGCCCCCUAGGUUAACACUGACGCUCAGGCACGGAAGCGUGGGGAGCAAACA